AUUGAACGCUGGCGGCAGGCCUAACACAUGCAAGUCGAGCGGAUGAAGGGAGCUUGCUCCUGGAUUCAGCGGCGGACGGGUGAGUAAUGCCUAGGAAUCUGCCUGGUAGUGGGGGAUAACGUCCGGAAACGGGCGCUAAUACCCCAUACUUCCUGGGGGGGAAGGGGGGGGGUUUUCGAACCUCCCCCUUCCGGUGGGCCCAGGGUGGGAUUGCUUGGUGGGUGGGUUAAGGCCUAACAAGGCGGACAUUCGUUAACUGGCCGGGAGGGUGAGCAGUUACCCCUGAACUUGGACACGGUCCCGACUCCUAAGGGAGGCAGCAGUGGGGAAUAUUGGACAAUGGGCGAAAGCCUGAUCCAGCCAUGCCGCGUGUGUGAAGAAGGUCUUCGGAUUGUAAAGCACUUUAAGUUGGGAGGAAGGGCAGUAAGUUAAUACCUUGCUGUUUUGACGUUACCAACAGAAUAAGCACCGGCUAACUUCGUG
rnacentral:rRNA from 1 species